rnacentral:rRNA from 1 species
AUUGAACGCUGGCGGCAGGCCUAACACAUGCCAGUCGAGCGAGCGGCGGACGGGUGAGUAAUGUCUGGGAAACUGCCUGAUGGAGGGGGAUAACUACUUGAAACGGUAGCUAAUACCGCCUACCAUCCUAUUUGACCCGAUGGUAUUAGCUAGGAGUUGGGGUAACGGCUCACCGAGGCGACGUUCCCUCGCUGGUCUGAGAGGAUGACCAGCCACACUGGAACUGAGCACCGGUCCAGACUCCUACGGGAGGCAGCAGUGGGGAAUAUUGCACAAUGGGCUCAAGCCUGAUGCAGCCAUGCCGCGUGUGUGAAGAAGGCCUUCGGGUUGUAAAGCACUUUCAGCGGGGAGGCGUUACCCGCAGAAGAAGCACCGGCUAACUCCGUGCCAGCAGCCGCGGUAAUUC